CCACACUGUGUAAUCGAGUCUAUAAUCGAGUUUGGAGCACUUUGGAAGGAAGUUUAAUCCUGCCGCCAUUUUCAUUUCUGUUCCGCACUUCAUUCAACCCUCCGAUUGGAGCAGGUUUUAUUGCUUUACCUUUGUCUACUUUAUUUUCUCGCACUGCCUUUAUUUUGUUUACUUUCCCGCACUUCCUUUAUUUUGUUUACUUUCCCGCACUCGCACUUUACUUUGUUUAUUUCUCGCACUGCACUACUUUC
rnacentral:lncRNA from 1 species